CUAAGGAAGAACUCUAAUGGAAACGCUCACUCGUUGAGCCUCUGCCUUUCAGUUCUCUUGGAACAAGACGGAAGAGAGUCACUCUUACCGUCGUGCAUACCUUAAGCGGGUCUGCCGCCUUCGUUUCUCUUUCUUCGCGAAUGACUAACCUCCCUUUGGCUAUGCCCACAAGGCGUGCCUUGCCGGUGCAAAUGGUGCCAGCAGGGUUCGGUUUAGGGCUUGUAGCUCAGUUGGUUAGAGCGCGCGCUUGAUAAGCGUGAGGUCGGAGGUUCAAGUCCUCCCAGGCCCACCAUUUCCUCGACAAAAGGUAUCAGGGGCCGUAGCUCAGCUGGGAGAGCGCCUGCUUUGCAAGCAGGAUGUCGUCGGUUCGAUCCCGUCCGGCUCCACCAUCUUCUUCUUCGGAAGGAAGGGUGUCGAGUAGAGAUGAACACCGUCAGGCAAGUCAUUCGUAAAAAGGUUUGCGGCGAGCAACUAGCUCUCCGCCUGUUCUGUAUGACAUCGUAAAGAGAAGAUUUGUUCGAACUUCAUGAGCCGAAAGGUUCGUGAUUUGUCGCGGGAGACGCUCAAUCUCCCGCAUAUGAUGGGUUUGCCUAACCGCGCCCUCGAACCGAUCUCGAGAAGCUGGUCUUUUUGUGCCAAUUCCAUUGAAUCCAGGUUCUGCACAGGAUCUGGUUCGAGCGACAAUCCCUUGGGGAUUGCGCGAUGGGCAUUGGCAAUGAGAACGAUCAAGUGUCUUAAGGGCAAUUGGUGGAUGCCUUGGCAUGCACAGGCGAUGAAGGACGUGAUACGCUGCGAUAAGCUACGGGGAGGUGCGAAUACCCUUUGAUCCGUAGAUUUCCGA
rnacentral:misc_RNA from 1 species